rnacentral:rRNA from 1 species
GGAUAACAUGCCCUUAGGAGGGGGAUAAUCUCGAGAAAUUGAGGAUAAUACCCCAUAGGCCAUGAAUGCUGGAAUGCUUUAUGGCCCAAAGCUCCGGCGCCUAAGGAUUGGUCUGCGGCCUAUCAGGUUGUAGUGGGUGUAACGGACCCACUAGCCUAUGACGGGUAUGGGCCUUGAGAGAGGGAGCCCAGAGAUGGACUCUGAGACACGAGUCCAGGCCCUACGGGGCGCAGCAGUCGCGAAACCCUCACACUGGGGGAAACCCUGAUGAGGGAAUUCCUAGUGCCUGCAUUUUUUGUAGGCUUUUAUCUAGUGUAGAUAGCUAGAAGAAUAAGGGCCGGGUAAGACGGGUGCCAGCCGCCGCGGUAAUACCCGCGGCCCAAGUGGUGGUCGAUAUUAUUGAGUCUAAAACGUCCGUAGCCGGUUCAGUAAAUCUUUGGGUAAAUCGGCCAGCUUAACUGACCGAAUUCCGAAGAGACUGCUGAACUUGGGACCGGGAGAGGCCAGAGGUACUUCUGGGGUAGGGGUAAAAUCCUGUAAUCCUAGAAGGACCACCGGUGGCGAAGGCGUCUGGCUAGAACGGAUCCGACGGUGAGGGACGAAGCCCUGGGGCGCAAACGGGAUUAGAUACCCCGGUAGUCCAGGGUGUAAACGCUGCAGGCUUGGUGUUGGGGGUCCUUCGGGGGCGCCCAGUGCCGGAGAGAAGUUGUUAAGCCUGCUACUUGGGGAGUACGUCCGCAAGGAUGAAACU